rnacentral:rRNA from 1 species
GAUGAACGCUGGCGGCGUGCCUAAUACAUGCAAGUCGAACGAACGGACGAGAAGCUUGCUUCUCUGAUGUUAGCGGCGGACGGGUGAGUAACACGUGGAUAACCUCCCUAUAAGACUGGGAUAACUUCGGGAAACCGUAGCUAAUACCGGAUAAUCUUUUGAACCGCAUGGUUCAAAAGUGAAAGACGGUCUUGCUGUCACUUAUAGAUGGAUCCGCGCUGCAUUAGCUAGUUGGUAAGGUAACGGCUUACCAAGGCAACGAUGCAUAGCCGACCUGAGAGGGUGAUCGGCGACACUGGAACUGAGACACGGUCCAGAGUACUACGGGAGGCAGCAGUAGGGAAUCUUACGCAAUGGGGGGAAGCCUGACGGAGCAACGCGGAGUGAGUGAUGAAGGUCUUCGGAUCGUAAAACUCUGUUAUUAGGUAAGAACAGAUGUGUAAGUAAAUGUGCACAGCUUGACGGUACCUAAUCAGAAAGCCACGGCUAACUACGUG